rnacentral:snoRNA from 1 species
UGUUUUUAAAUUAAAGUCUACUGUGUUCUUUACACUGACUAUAUAGAAAGAGGAGGCAUAGUCUAUAAUCCCACCCCAUAUACAUCCCAACCUAAGCCCUCUGACUGGUCUAUACUGUGAAUGGGGGAACAUGG